CCUGCCGGACCUGACUGCUAUCGGAUUGAUACUAAGCCAUGCGAGUCUUUGUAGUAAUACAAGGCAGACGGCUCAGUAACACGUAGUCAACCUACCCUAUGGACAAGAAUAAUCUCGGGAAACUGGGCAUAAUUCUUGAUAGAUCAUAAUGCCUGGAAUGGUUUAUGGUUAAAAUGAUUCGUCGCCAUAGGAUGGGACUGCGGCCUAUCAGCUUGUUGGUGAGGUAAUGGCCCACCAAGGCGAUUACAGGUACGGGCUCUGAGAGGAGAAGCCCGGAGAUGGGUACUGAGACACGGACCCAGGCCCUAUGGGGCGCAGCAGGCGAGAAAACUUUGCAAUGUGCGAAAGCACGACAAGGUUAAUCCGAGUGAUUUCUGCUAAAGAAAUCUUUUGCCAGUCAUAAAACCACUGGUGAAUAAGGGGUGGGCAAGUUCUGGUGUCAGCCGCCGCGGUAAAACCAGCACCUCAAGUGGUCAGGAUGAUUAUUGGGCCUAAAGCAUCCGUAGCCGGCUUUGUUAGUUUUCGGUUAAAUCCAUGUGCUCAACGCAUGGGCUGCCGAAAAUACUGCAUAGCUAGGGAGUGGGAGAGGUAGACGGUACUCAGUAGGAAGGGGUAAAAUCCUUUGAUCUAUUGAUGACCACCUGUGGCGAAGGCGGUCUACCAGAACACGUUCGACGGUGAGGGAUGAAAGCUGGGGGAGCAAACCGGAUUAGAUACCCGGGUAGUCCCAGCCGUAAACUAUGCAAACUCAGUGAUGCAUUGGCUUGUGGCCAAUGCAGUGUUGCAGGGAAGCCGUUAAGUUUGCCGCCUGGGAAGUACGUACGCAAGUAUGAAACUUAAAGGAAUUGGCGGGGAGCACCACAAGGGUGAAGCCUGCGGU
rnacentral:rRNA from 1 species